rnacentral:rRNA from 1 species
AAAUUCUAGGUAGAAUUAUGAUAAUGACAUUAUCUGCCUAUAUGUCUUGACCAAAUUACGUGCCAGCAGUCGCGGUAAUACGUAGAAGACUAGUGUUAUUCAUCUUUAAUAGGUUUAAAGGGUACCUAGACGGUAAAUCAAGCCUGCGAGGGGACUAAUUUACUAGAGUUACUUGUGAGGGGGUAUUAAAGUACUAAUGGUGUAGAGAUGAAAUUCUGUCAUACCUCUUUUCGUAAGAAAAAUUACGGCACAGGUAUAGGCGAAAGCAUCCCCUUAUGUGAUAACUGACGUUGAAGGACGAAGGCUUUGUGUCGCGAACAGGAUUAGAUACCCCAGUAGUCAAAGCAGAAAAUGAUGAAUGUCAUAGAUUAGACAUAUAAUAGUUUAUUCUAUAAAUGAAAGUGUAAGCAUUCCACCUCAAGAGUAAUUUGGCAACAUUGGAACUGAAAUCAUUAGACCGUUUCUGAAACCAGUAGUGAAGUAUGUUGUUUAAUUUGAUAAUCGCGAAAAAC